rnacentral:rRNA from 1 species
GACGAACCGUGCGAACGUUGUUCGGAAUCACUGGGCUUAAAGGGCGCGUAGGCGGCCGGGUGGGUCGGGUGUGAAAUCCCCCAGCUUAACUGGGGAAGGGCCUACGAUACUGCCUGGCUCAAGGGAGGAAGGGGCGGUCGGAACUGUCGGUGGAGCGGUGAAAUGCGUUGAUAUCGACAGGAACGCCGGUGGCGAAAGCGGACCGCUGGCCCUCUUCUGACGCUGAGGCGCGAAAGCUAGGGGAGCAAACGGG